UAAUACGACGCAGUUUCGUCCGAAUAAAAAACCCAGGAUGAGAACGACGAUCCCAAUAAAUAUGUGCAUCUUCUCAACCGACAACAAAGGACCGAAAUAAACAAAAUUCCAGCAUUCAUCAAAAUUUGAAGGGCGAACAAAUAAUCGAAACGGCAUCGUCGCCCUUGAAAAUUCACGCCAAAACCACACACCGACGAAAUAAAUUCAGCAGUCGUAUUCCCGACCAUCUCGCUCAAACUUUCAUGCACUUGGCCUUUGUACAAACUCUCUGUCUGUCUGGACAUCUUCUUCUUCUUUUAUUAUUUACCAUAAGAAAGGGAACACGUUCGGUUCUCGUCUGGAGGGUUUGGUGCUGAAAAACAUUGACGAGAGUAGACCACGAUUUCCUUUUGAACAACCAGACGGUGCCAAGAAAAAAAGAAAAAGUUGUUUUUUACUUAAAGGGGGAACGGUAGCCAUCGAAGAAUUCCGAGCGCGUGGCAACUGCUGCAUCUUCAGUUCUUUUUAUAUUCUACUUUUCUUUUUUCUCUUAUUACGUGAGUGUAUGUCUAUACAUAUUUUUAAAUCUUAAAAGGAUAGAGACGUCAGAGCAGUCUGCUGGGGUUUUUUUUGUGUGCGCGGAGGAAACGCAUCCGCUGGAUGGUGAGUGAGAGAGACGGUGCGGAGUAGACAAAUAAAGAAGCUCUGGAAUAAGAAGAAGAUAUAUCUGUGUGGAAAAAAAAUGAACAACAGGGAGAGAAAAAUCAACGUCACUCGACGCGAUGAACAACAAACGGAGAGGAAAAGGAUAAAUUUGAAUAAUAAGAGUCGACUGCUGCAAUGCCCAUGGCCUUUCACCCUCAGCCCCGACACAAUAUGAUCGAGCUGUUUAUAUAUUUUUUACCACUUUUGAGCAUUUUCAAUGUCGUGAUUUUUUUGGGAUUAAAUUUCUUUGAAGUAA